GACCUCGGAUCAGGUAGGAAUACCCGCUGAACUUAAGCAUAUCAAUAAGCGGAGGAAAAGAAACCAACAGGGAUUGCCCUAGUAACGGCGAGUGAGGCGGCAACAGCUCAAAUUUGAAAUCUGGCUUUCGGGCCCGAGUUGUAAUUUGUAGAGGAUACUUUUGAUGCGGUGCCUUCCGAGUUCCCUGGAACGGGACGCCAUAGAGGGUGAGAGCCCCGUCUGGUUGGAUGCCAAAUCUCUGUAAAGUUCCUUCGACGAGUCGAGUAGUUUGGGAAUGCUGCUCUAAAUGGGAGGUAUAUGUCUUCUAAAGCUAAAUAUUGGCCAGAGACCGAUAGCGCACAAGUAGAGUGAUUGAAAGAUGAAAAGCACUUUGAAAAGAGAGUUAAAAAGUACGUGAAAUUGUUGAAAGGGAAGCGU
rnacentral:rRNA from 1 species